rnacentral:ncRNA from 2 species
AAAAGUAGAAAAGCGCCAGAGCUAUAAGAAAAGUAGCUGACGAGGACAGGGAGUAUCGAGAAUUCGGCGGAUGCCCUGCGGUAUGACAUUGCCGAGAACCAUUGACAAAGGUAAGAAGUGAUUCUUAUUACAAAAACAAUGUGGUGUCUUGC